rnacentral:rRNA from 1 species
UACGUAGGGUGCGAGCGUUGUCCGGAAUUAUUGGGCGUAAAGGGCUCGUAGGCGGUUUGUCGCGUCGGGAGUGAAAACCUUGGGCUUAACUCAGGGCUUGCUUUCGAUACGGGCAGACUAGAGGUAUGCAGGGGAGAACGGAAUUCCUGGUGUAGCGGUGAAAUGCGCAGAUAUCAGGAAGAACACCCGUGGCUAAGGCGGCUCUCUAGUACGGUACUGACGCUGAGACGCGAAAGCGUGGGGAGCGAACAGG